CUCAAUAGUGAUUUUUUUUCUUUUGAGACAGGGUCUUGCUCUGUUGCCCAGGCUGGAGUGUAGUGGCAUAAUCAUGCCUCACUCCAGCGUCGACCCUCUGGGCUCAAGCAAUCCUCCCACUUCAGCCUCCUGAGUACCCAGGACUACAGGCAUGUGCCACUACACCUGGCUAAUUUUUGUAUUUUUUAACACUUAAAAAUACAAGUUUAUUUUCUCCAUAUUGUUAAGUCUAAUUAUGAUUUAUUUCAAAAUCAUGAAAAGCAGAGCCUAGCAUACCAAAUGCUAGGUCAGAUUUGCUCUGGAAACUUACUUUCUAGAUUAUUUUUUGGACUUACUUAAAAAAUAAUUAAUUUCCAUUAAUAUAGCACUAAUAGCCUCCAAAUUAUACUGCAGAAUUCCUAUAUGUAACCUUUUUUAAAAAAAUAAUUCAUCACCUGAAAAAGAUAUAUUUACUACAGUUAAGUUUUUAAGUCAAGAGUUUUCUCUGGGAAUUGAUAUAUUUUAUCUAUAAUGUCUCCACUUCUCCAUACUUUCAUCAAAGUGUCACUGAAGCAGCUAAAUGCAGUCCUGUGGGGCUAGGUCUACAACAUCUGCUUAGGUUUAUUUUAGUGGACAUGGUUCCAGUCUAAGAGCAAUGGGCCACUGUUCUAGGUCCUAAUGUACAGCCAUAGAGCCAUAGAGAUGAGGUAUUUCGAUUUGAACAGAAGGAACAUUUUGACCCAGGCACUACAUUUACCACUCAUGCAGACGUGGUAGACCGCGUGUGCUAAACUGAACACCAAAGCCAUCAUUCAGACCCACACAGUGCUGGUCUCAUGGACCCAUGCAGUCACACAGAGCCUCAUGCUCAGAAGGGCACUGUGCUUGGUGUGACAACUGCUGUUGCCAUCUCGAAUUUCUUAAUAAUUUUUGAAUGAUGGGACUGCAUUUUCACUGUUCACUGGGCUCUGCAAAUUAUGUCGCCAGUCCUAGAUAUACAUAAAAGUUGCUUUGGCCUGAUUCAUCUGACUUGUGAUCUGUGUUUUCACCUGGCAUUGAAGAUAGAGCUGUGGGUAGUUCCCAGUAGCAGGAUGAUUCUAGUUCUAGAACAUUUUCAAAGGUAUAGAAGUUGUUCGUCAUGUAAUUCACUGCGAACAGUAAAGGAAGGAAGCCCACAAAGAUGAUUUUUAUUUAUCUAUAAGUCUAUAGAACUGAAAUUAUGCUCUUUGGAAUACGGAAGAAUCAAGCCCAACUGUGAUAUAUAUAUAUAUAUAUACACACACACAUACAUAUAUAUAUAUAAAACUGUGAUAUAUAUGUGUGAUAUAUAUAUAUUAGCAUAUAUAUGUUAUAUAUAUAUUAGCAUAUAUAUGUUAUAUAUAUAUAUUAGCAUAAUGAAAUGAAAGAACUGGUUCAUUUGAAGAGGAAAUAUGUAUGCACAUGUGCCAAUAAGCUAAAUAUAAAUGUAUUCCUCUCUAAUCUUUUUUUCAUCAUCAAUAAAUUAUUUCAGCAAUUCAAAUAAAAAGAAUCUGUACAAGGUCUGAACUUGGCUAUUGUUUAUCAGAAUAGUGAAAACAUCCUCUUCUGAAUUAGAAAGUACUCUUCCUGCCUUUCUUCAAAAGAAUAGUAGGGAAUAGUUGGUCCAGAAGUGCCACAAAAUGUUUAUCCUCCAUUUAUAGAUAGGAAUAAACAUUUCAUUAUAGGGCAUGGUCUUCUGUACAGGUGGGUAGAGUGUGAUUUUAAAAGGACAGGUUGCCAAAGAAGAGGAGUUUUUUUCUAGAUACCUGUGAGAUGGGGAAAAGCUCAAAGGGCAAGGAAGAAGAAUCAUCUAGACCUUCAAAGGCCACGCAGGGCUUCCAACUCUGGCUGUGAAUUAGAAUCACCUGAAGAAUCUAGAAAAAUAUUGAUGUCUGGGUCUCAUCCCACAGUAAUUAAAUUAUAACCUGGGAAUGGAGCGCAGGCAAGGGUGUUUUUAUUUUUUAUUUUAUUUUUUUGAGACAGGGUCUCGCUCUGUUAUCCAGGCUGGAGUGUAAG
rnacentral:lncRNA from 1 species